AAACUGUUUAUCCAAUAAAUAUUUUUGUGCGCUCUGUUAUGUUUAAGGCUCGUAAUUCAUGGAUCGAUCGAGGUUCUCUUAUGACCUAACACGUUGUUUGAGAAUUGUGUACACUUGUUAGUUGUUUCGGUGGGUUGAUCUUCAUCGGGCACUAAUUCAUGUCAGAGGCGUUAUAAGGGUGCUUGGCUGGAUGUGUUCAGGAGCAUGUAUCAUGUAAGACCUGCCUAGGUAGCGUCCCGAGGUCAAUUAAACUUGUCUGAAUUACGUCCUCAGGGCAAGUGUUAUGGGAGAAAGCGAUACGUCGGUGGCUAAAAGGUCCGGUAUCACAACGAGUAACUAAACAGAGUGUGACAAUGGCGCGCUAAUAAAUGAAAUGUUUUAACAUGCUUAGAAGUUCUUUUACUUUAAAACCUUUUAAGUUAUGUCAUGAAUGAUUGGAUAAACUGCUCUUACGAAUUGUGAAAUGUUUUAAAAGUUGCAGUCCACUAAGUACAUUAGUACUUAGCCCAAAUAUUUUCAAAUGUUUUUCAGGUUGAUGGCUGGUGUUGACGUGGAGAGUUGAGGCUAGGGUUCAACUCCGUGUUUUGACUUCCGAUGUAGUAUUAACCUUUAAUUGUCUUUCGUUUCCUUGACUUAAGACCUUUAUGUUAUGACUCUAUUCGAUAUCUUUUGUUGAGCCUAGACUUUUGACUCUCAAGUAUUUUGAUUAAUGAAUGUUGGUUAUCUGAAGCAUGAAACUAAACUUGUGAUCUUGAAGUUGUUGUGUUUGUUGAUUGAUUUGUAUCAAUUGGAUAUUUAUCUUUCUUCAUCCAAAGGGGCAAUGCCCGAUUGUUAUCCCUUUUAUUCGGAUUUCACAAGGUUUUUCUCUUGUUCAAUUUAAUGAUGAGUCGUACCCCCAGUUAUAGUUAUUGUUUCAAGAAUUGGGGUGUGACAAUCAGCCUGUCUUUUUACUCACCGAAUUGUAUCUUCAGUCAGAUAGUCUUUUGCUUGUUGAUUAAUCGUUACCAGUUGGCUUACUAAUUAUGAACUGAGUUGUUCAACACUNCAUUAAUUCUUCCAGUUUCUUUUAUAUUUUUCAGAUCCAAAAUUUUCAUUCUAAAUUUUGAUAAUGAAUUCGCUGAUCCAACUUUUGUAAGUUCAGAGACAAGAUUUCCUCAUUUCCUACUCAUAUCAAGGUUCCCUCCAUUUUCACUCUACCUAUAUUUGUUAACCUUUGAAUCAAGAACAAAGAACCAUAGCAAUUAUACACACACACACUUACUAUAUGUUCUAAUCUGUACAAUCAAUUUUUUAUAGUAAUGAACGGAAAGAACAGUUUUUAAAGAGAAAAAGCAUAAUCUAUGCUAUUGUGAAUCUUGAACUGAAUUUGGGGGUUGUUUCUCUGUCUUGUGUGUGUGCUGACUGAAUUUGGGAGAGGUGUGAGGAGCAGCCGGCUGCUCGGCGCCGGAAACGGCGGCGACGAGACGGUAGGGUCGUCUUUCUCCUUUUACUGCCAAAAUCGUGAGAGAACAGAGCAGAGAAUGAGAGAGCAGAGCAGAGAGAGAAGAGAGCGAGGGAGGCAGAGCUAGAGAGAGAAGAGAGCGAGAGAACAGAGCAGAGAGAGCAGAGUCAGAGAGCGACGAGAGAGAGAGAGAGAGAGAGAGAGGGUUUGUGGUGUGUGCGUGUGUUUGUGCGUGUUCAUGUGUGUGUGUGUGUGUGUGUGUGUGUUUUAAAUGAAGAAGAAGGAUUUUGGGCCUUGCCCUAAUUAAUUUGGGCCAAAAAUGGGCUGCCAUUUUUUUAAAAAAAGAAAGUGGGUUAAUUUUAAUCAUGUUUUGGGCCUUUGUUCUAAGUUAAAGAAAUGGGCUGCUAUUUAUUUAUUCGUUAAAUUUUGAAAAACCCGGCUAAGUGAAUUAUAGGAUGUUAAGCACUUUACCAUGGCUUAAGAUUAUAGACUUCUUAUAGGCUUUUUGGAUCGUGAGGACUAGGACGACUAUUCCGGUUCAAAGAUAGAUAAACGACAGGCUUUGCCUAAUCAGGUGGGCUUAUUUUUCAAAUGUAUGUUUGAGUUAUUAAGCUCUAAAUGUUUCAUGAAUUUAAAACUGUUUAUCCAAUAAAUAUUUUUGUGCGCUCUGUUAUGUUUAAGGCUCGUAAUUCAUGGAUCGAUCGAGGUUCUCUUAUGACCUAACACGUUGUUUGAGAAUUGUGUACACUUGUUAGUUGUUUCGGUGGGUUGAUCUUCAUCGGGCACUAAUUCAUGUCAGAGGCGUUAUAAAGGGUGCUUGGCUGGAUGUGUUCAGGAGCAUGUAUCAUGUAAGACCUGCCUAGGUAGCGUCCCGAGGUCAAUUAAACUUGUCUGAAUUACGUCCUCAGGGCAAGUGUUAUGGGAGAAAGCGAUACGUCGGUGGCUAAAAGGUCCGGUAUCACAACGAGUAACUAAACAGAGUGUGACAAUGGCGC
rnacentral:lncRNA from 1 species